CCCGGCUCCCUCUGCCUCAGCCUCCGCCCCGGCCCCGUGUCCGUGUCCGUCCCUCCGCCCGUCAGGCCCGCGCCCGCGCCAGGCCGAGGCAGCAUGAAGGUGACGGUGGACUUCGAGGAGUGUCUCAAGGACUCGCCUCGCUUCCGGGCUGCUUUGGAAGAGGUGGAAGGAGAUGUGGCAGAAUUGGAACUCAAACUCGAUAAGCUUGUGAAACUUUGUAUUGCGAUGAUUGACACUGGAAAAGCCUUUUGUGUGGCAAACAAGCAAUUUGUGAAUGGAAUCCGAGACUUGGCCCAAUAUUCUAGUAAAGAUGCGGUAGUGGAGACAAGCUUGACCAAAUUUUCUGAAAGUCUUCAGGAAAUGAUCAAUUUUCACACAAUCCUGUUUGACCAGACGCAGAGAUCCAUUAAGGCACAACUUCAGACCUUUGUGAAAGAAGAUCUCCGAAAGUUCAAAGAUGCCAAGAAACAGUUUGAGAAGGUCAGUGAAGAAAAGGAAAAUGCCCUAGUGAAAAACGCUCAGGUUCAGAGGAAUAAACAGCAUGAAGUAGAAGAAGCUGCUAACAUUCUGACGGCUACCAGGAAGUGCUUCCGCCACAUCGCCCUGGACUAUGUUCUGCAGAUUAAUGUGCUUCAGUCAAAGAGAAGAUCAGAAAUCCUGAAAUCAAUGUUGUCGUUCAUGUAUGCCCACCUGGCCUUCUUUCAUCAGGGAUACGACCUUUUUAGUGAACUCGGGCCCUACAUGAAGGAUCUCGGUGCUCAGCUGGAUCGGCUGGUGGUGGACGCAGCCAAGGAGAAGAGAGACAUGGAGCAGAAGCACUCUACCAUCCAGCAGAAGGCUGCAUUACAGGAUUUCUCCAGCGAUGACACCAAGCUAGAAUAUAACGUGGAUGCGGCCAAUGGCAUUGUCAUGGAAGGCUACCUGUUCAAACGAGCCAGCAAUGCCUUCAAGACUUGGAACAGGAGAAAGCCAGAUCAUAUCAGACGCUGGUUCUCAAUACAGAAUAAUCAGCUGGUGUACCAGAAAAAGUUCAAGGACAAUCCCACGGUGGUUGUUGAAGACCUGAGGCUUUGCACCGUGAAGCAUUGUGAGGACGUAGAGAGACGCUUCUGUUUCGAGGUGGUCUCGCCCACAAAGAGCUGCAUGCUUCAGGCCGACUCUGAGAAGCUGCGCCAGGCCUGGAUUAAGGCAGUUCAGACCAGCAUCGCCACCGCCUACAGAGAGAAGGGAGAUGAGGCCGAGAAGCUGGAUAAAAAAUCAUCUCCAUCUACAGGAAGCCUGGACUCCGGAAAUGAGUCAAAAGAGAAAUUACUGAAAGGGGAGAGUGCUUUGCAGCGGGUUCAGAGCAUUCCUGGCAAUGCCAGCUGCUGUGACUGUGGCCUGCCUGACCCCCGCUGGGCCAGCAUCAACUUGGGAAUCACCCUGUGCAUUGAGUGCUCAGGUAUACACCGGAGUCUUGGGGUUCACUUUUCAAAGGUACGCUCUUUAACUUUGGACACCUGGGAGCCAGAACUUCUCAAGCUUAUGUGUGAGUUGGGAAAUGAUGUUAUGAAUCGAGUUUAUGAAGCCAGAAUUGAGAAAAUGGGAAUAAAGAAACCACAGCCCGGACAAAGGCAGGAGAAGGAAGCAUAUAUCAAAGCAAAGUACGUGGAAAGGAAGUUUGUGGAUAAGGAUUCUGUUUCUUCAUCACCACCAGAGGAAGGGAAGAAAACUCUGAGCCAAGGUCGGGAGGAGAAGGGACUCAGCUUCUCAAAGCCAGCACUAGAGGACCCCGUUGGACCAUCAGCCAGAAGUUUAGACAUUGACCCCUUUGCGGUGGCUGUAAAUAGCGACGAGGCCAGGCGGGAAUCUCUGUUCUGUCCUGAUGAGCUAGACUCCCUCUUCUCCUACUUUGAUACCUCUUCAAAACUGCGUAGUAUCAAAAGCAAUGACAGCGGAAUCCAGCAGUGUGCUGAUGAUAUCAGAGAAGGCCUGUCCUCUGUGGUUUCUGCUAACAGUUUAUACGAACCAGAGGGAGAAAGGCGAGAUUCUUCAGUAUUUCUUGAAUUUAAGCACGUCCAUCCAGGACUCCAGCUGUACCGGGCUUCCUAUGAAAAAAGGCUUCCCGACAUGGCUGAGGCAUUGGCUCAUGGAGCAGAUGUCAACUGGGCAAACCCUGAAGAGAGCCAAGCCACACCACUUAUCCAGGCUGUCUUAGGGGGCUCCCUGGUGACCUGUGAGUUCCUCCUGCAGAAUGGUGCUAACGUGAACCAGAGGGAUGCCAAGGGGCGAGGCCCGCUGCACCACGCCACCGUCUUGGGACACACUGGGCAGGUGUGUUUGUUCCUGAAACGAGGUGCCAACCAGCACGCCCCCGACGAGGAAGGGAAUGACCCACUGAGCAUUGCCGUAGAAGCCGCGAAUGCAGAUAUCGUGACCCUGUUGCGUUUGGCCAGAAUGAAUGAAGAGAUGCGCGAGUCUGAAGGACUUUACGGACAGCCAGGUCAAUAUUCUCCCAAUAACCACACGGAGAUGCAGUAUAAGAAAUGCAUUCAAGAAUUUAUCAGUUUACAGUUAGAAGAUCCGUAAUUCUUAGACAAAAGAUGUCACCUUGGUACAAUAGUGUUUUUUAACUUGACUUGUAAGUUGUGACUUCCUUGGCCGAUAUGUGUACAGUGUUCAGUGGCUUCUCCAGGGGUUCGUGGCCAGGCCUUUAGACACCAGCUCCCUCCUGCCCGCUGUGGACUUCCUCUCUCUGCCAUACGUCUUUCUCCUGCCCUUAAAUAUUCCAAUGAGGGGGCAAGGACGGCCAGGGCUACGUAACACACCCAUGGGGCAACAGAGUGGGUGUUUUCUGAUGAGAAUCCCCCUGGAGGAGUCUGUUGUCAGGUGGGGAAAACAGUCAUUCCUCAGUGCCCGUCACCAAAUCCUUCAUUGGCCAAAGAAAUCCUAGUCUCUUUGAUGUGUGGGGAAGACAAAAGAGAAAAGUUGACUAAAUUAAGAAAUGUGUGUAUGCUAGAAAAAAAAUGAACUAAUUUGGGAGGCUUUGAAAUGCCUGUCAGGUCAGUAGGCCGUAAUGGGCUGCAGUAGCCAGUUCAUAGACAGAAGUCUGUGUAGGGGAAAUGUACGAUUCGGCGUGUCCAGAAUGCACAGUAACUGAUGAAAUGUGUUUAAAUACUGUCCCCAAACUCGUUUGUUUAGUUGAGCAAAAUCCUGAUGUGCUCAUCUCCUCCAUACUCAGAACGAGGAGUUCUUAGCCCGGGACGAGUUGGCACGCCGAGCUGGAGGCACCUCCAGCCUGGACAGUUGUCCACACUUGGUGUUCUCUGAGAUGAGAGUCGCUCGCAGAGGCCUCUCAUGCCAUUACAUGACUUUAGUCUUAGGGAUUCAUCAAACACUCCCAUUCAUGUCCACCUUGGUUAGAUUUCAGCUUCUCAUGCCUGAGAGGUGAGCUCGAACAUGUGUAGCCAGAUAGCUGCGAUGGGCAUUUUGGUCUCACCAACACCGAGAGACUUUAUUUAGCAUGUAGAAGGAGGCUUCCUUCCCCUUUCGAGCCUCGAAGUGUCUCUGGUCUUUGCUGACAUAAGGCACGCUCUAACAGCUGUUUAAAGUGAGAAGUGAAACGGCAGGCCCCUUCUCAGGGGCUUGUACGACCCUUCUGUGGGUCAAAGGGAGGCUGAAACCUCUAGGCAAGGACAGCUCUGGCUUUUGUCCCACCGUUCAGACAAUAGCACGGAGUCUGCCAAUCCCGGGCUGUGAAUGAGGUGCCAUUUGGGGGUGUUCAGCAGUGGUUCUGAAGGUCACCCAUUGGUCUAAACUUGAAUAUUAGAUGAGAAUUUUAUAUCAGAUAUUUAAAUGAUCCUCUACUUAGUAGGCCAUUUUUGAGGCCUCUGUGUUUAAGCACUUUAAAAAGAAAAAAGAGUGUGUGUGUGUGUGUGUGUGUGUGUGCGCACGCGUGUGCGCACACACGUGUGCAUAGAUACAUCUAUGUGUAUAGCAUACUGACAUUUACAAGAGAGGUCCCUUUCAGCUUUGUACAGUGACCCUGGUGUUCUAGAUUCUUCCAUUUGGUCCUGGCUCUUGGCCUGUUGGGUUUGCUAAAGGAGUUCUCUUCACCUGAUUAGUCAGAACGUCAUUGGUGUGAAUUUGGUGUUGGGCAGCAGGAAGCACUCUGCCCAUGGCCCAGCACCUGCUCUGCUGCCACCACCAUAGAUCUUCUCGAUGCCUUCCUUGGACCUUUCUGUGGGUUCCGAGCAGAGAAAGUGAUUUUGCCCGUCUGUUUAACUGGAAAUCUGAAAUAGUUGCUAAAUAAUUGUCUUCCAAAUUUUACAAUUGGACAGUUUUCAGAAUAGACAAUUGUUGUGAUAGAGAUAUUACCAGAAUACAGAUAAGAUGUUGCCCAUUCCUGGGUGGCCUAGUUAAUUCUUUCUGGGGUAUAAGGGAGCCCACAUGCUUGAGCCCAGGCAGCCCCCUUGUCUCCCUGACGAAUCCCGCUGUUUGGCCUCUGGGCAGGGAGGGUCUUCAGGGUUGGAUCAUUGGGUAACCUUCUUUUUUGUUUGUUUGUUUGUUUGUUUUUGCUGAGGCAAUUGGGGUUAAGUGACUUGCCCAGGGUCACACAGCUAGUGAGUGUCAAGUGUCUGAGGCUGGAUUUGAACUCAGGUCUUCCUGACUUCAGGGCCGGUGCUCUAUCCACUGCGCCACCUAACUGCCCAGUAACCUUCUUUUAUAACCCUGGGCUGUGAGGGGAAGUCAGCUUCCUAUCUUUGCCUGGUUUGUAGGGUCAGGGCUUCCUGCUCACUUAGAAGGGAAAGUGAGAAAUCAAUUAAAAUCUUCCAAGAGAAUCCCUCAGCUCUCUUUUCAUAAUUCUGAGGAGUCCCGGCUGAGAUGCUGAGGUCUCACCUUUGCUAAAACCUGUUUGGAUCUUCCAGAGGCUUCUGGGUAGUUCCAUCCCUCUCUCCCUGCUUUGUCUAAAAAGCCUAGGAUGUAGCCAGAUGGGAUUCCUAUGCUCAGCCCUGUCUCCAGAAGACAGCCACACGCAAUCACUGCCCCAUAGCUAGAGUCCCUGGGUGUAUCAGGAUGCGCAUAGAUCUCUUUCGCUUUGAAGGAGCCGCUUCCCCAAAUGCUGACAAGCCAGCGUGGGAGCUGUUGGUCAGAAAUCUUGGACAGGCUCACAGGGGAAGUGGCCGUGUGUAUUCAGUGACCUGUCCAUGCAGGCGAGGGGCUGAGUCCCACGUGUUCAGUGAACCUCAUUCCUAAAAGCCAAAGCCCAAACAAGGGAGCUCCCCCUUAAUGGGGCAGAGGGGUUUCAAGGGCACCCUGUUGUGUAAACGUUGCAGUGGGUCUCUGGAAGCCUCCCAGAGGAAUGCUCUGGCUUGGUUUACCUUCAGAAGUCAGGAGCAGAAAGCCAGCCUGGGUAGGUUUGAAUAACUAGAUAGCGAAUCUGUUGUAGAGAAUAACCUUUAAGCCUGACUGUUCCUGCAUGUGUUGUGUGUGUGUCAUCAUCUCAUUUCCUCCUGAGACUUCAUUUCAGGCCAUCACUGCUGGAGACAGGGUGGAUGAGGGAAACUAGGUGGCCGCGUGUGGCCGUGUGUGCAUGGGCGAGUGUGUGCCCCUAUAGGGCAAGCUUCCUCUCGCUGCCGAUGCCUCCCAGCAGCAGCAGUACAUUUGGUUGCGUGUGGCAGUGUCCACAUGGGUCUUGCCCUGGGCAGCGGUCCUUCCAGAGGGGCCGGUCAGGGGGGCUGGCUGGUCUAGCCUGUUGGCCCGGCCAGGAGCUGAAGGCCCUACUCCUGCCCUCUUGGUGCUUGGUGCUUGCUGCCUGGGACCUUUCUGGGGUACGGUUGGCCUCCUUCCCCAGUGUCUCCUGUGUGCCUUUUCUGUCCCUUUUGGUGUGGAAGAGUAAAACCUACGCUAGAGUAUUUUUGUAUUAAGCUGUGGCCUGCACUUUAAAUACACUUUGGGAAGAUCCGUUGCCAGACUCCAGUUUAACCAAUGGGGACAAAUGCUAUUUUGCACUGUUUACAAUAAGUAUUUUAUGGCAGCAGGUAAGAGAAGGGAAACUUGCUUCAAAUUCUCUUUUCUAGAAUUCAUUCGGCUGCGGUUGCCUCCUUCUCAUUUUUUUUUUUUAGUGAGGCAAUUGGGGUUAAGUGACUUGCCCAGGGUCACACAGCUAGUAAGUGUUAAGUGUCUGAGGCCAGAUUUGAACUCAGGUACUCCUGACUCCAAGGCCAGUGCUCUAUCCACUGCGCCACCUAGCUGCCCCCUUCUCAUUUGUUUUUAAUCUCCUCACAUGGCCUCCCAAGGCCGCCAGAAGGGCUUUUUGUGUAUGUGUGUGUGUGUGUGUGUGUGUGUGUAGGAGGGGUGUGUAGGAGGGAACUCAGAAGUCCCUGGGCAGGGAGGUGGGCUGUCCCAUGAAUAGUUGCUAUCUGUGAGGGGGCUAAAGUUCUAGCUAGACUGUCUAAAAACCUAAUGAGUUGUCGCCAGUCAGUCAGAAGCUGGUUCCUCUAUCAAAUCAGCUGAGCAUGGAUCCUGCUGACUUGGUCAACUCAAUGUUGGCUCCCAUCAGCCAUGUCAGUUCCUUUGCAUUCGUCUAGACACAACAUCAGAUUCCUGGGGUUUCAGCUCGGGAAGGAUCCCCAGAGCAAACUCAGAUUUCUGUCAGUAACUGACUUCCUUAACUCCGAGAGGGAAAUCUGAUCUAGAACCUUCCUCUUGGAGCUGAUGCCCAAGUUUCAGAUCAGCGGGACAGGCACCGAUUGCUUCCCCCCAAUUUCUGAGAGGCCCAGCCCCAUUCCUUCUACCCACACCUGCACACGUGGCAGCCUCUUGUCGCAGCAGGAGCUUUGCUGUGAGCCCAGGGCAUGAUAGAGGCAGGGGGCCUGUGACUGGCUCUGGAAGGGGUAGCGGAACUGUGUUGUUGAAGCAGGUGUUGUUCACCUGUGCUUUGGCUCCAUGGCCCAACCCCUGAGAAGAGGAGGAGUAUUCCAUGCUGGUCCCCGUGCUGGAAUUAACCCACCAAGUAAAACAGCAUUGGGAAUAAGCUCUUACACUUGUGUGUCUGGGGUGUGGCCUCGGUCUCCUAGGGGUGUGUGUGUGUGUGUGUGUGUGUGUGUGUGUGUGUGAGUGUGUAUGUUCACCUGUGUCUCAAAGGAUGCCUGAGCUGCUCUUCUACUUAGUUAAGCAAAAAAGCUAUUUUGAGAGACUGUCAGAGCACCGUUAUUCACACAGUCCUGGCCUGUGUGUGCACAACUUUGUGGCUCAAGGUGAGCUCUAAAGAGAGAUGCAGUGGUCCAGAGAGAUACACCUGGCUGCCUCGCUCAGCCCCCCUCCCUUGACAGAUGGGGAAACCGAGGCCCCAGGAGGCAGAGGGACUUGCCCAAGGUCCCACAGGUAGUGGGGGCCAGACACGGGGCGAGAUCUCUCCCAGUUACCUGAGGCCGGGUUUUGGGUUUUUUGUCAUUGCCUUACGAGGCUCUGGUUGGGUGGGACCUUUGGAGUCCUGAGUGGGUUGGUUAUUCUGUGCAUUGUUUCCAGCCCUUGGUCUCUACCUUUCUCUAACUCUGCCCUUUCUUCUCUGGCUGCAUCUGAGGCACCUUGUCCAGGUGAUGAAACUUACCAAGACAUUUUCCGUGAUUUUUCCCAAAUGGCCUCCAAUAAUCCAGAAAAGCUAAACCGUUUCCAGCAAGAUUCACAGAAAUUCUGAAUUUUUUAAAGAAGGGAAACAAAUUAAAUCUGGUGCCCUCUUAUUUACCCAGCUGAAAAUGCACCUUUUCCUCCUGCUUUCAUGCUGCACAUUCAGGUUGUCUAGGUGUUGGAUGAGUGAUGGGAAAAGGUGUAUUCCUUGCCAAUUCUCUGUGGAAACAGUUUGGUGAAUGAUUGUCUCUGCACCUCUGCAGACUGGGAGGAGACUGUUUGGAAAUGGGUGCGAGGGGCCUGCUUUCUGGGCUUGCCUGUGCUGGGGGAUCGAGGGACUCUUUUUUAAGGAAGCAUGGCCACCUCUUUCCAUGAAUUAUGCUUAGCACAUUCCAUUAGCCGUGCGUACACAGCCGGAGCUCAGGGCCCAGGCUGGCUCUGUGGCCAGCAGAGCCUUCUCUGCCUUCUCAUCCCAUGUGCAAUAUGUGAUUUUCACAGUGAGGAAGAAAGUCCCUGAUCCCAACGGCACCACCCCAGGCUCGGGUCCAGGGGAGAAGUUUGAGCUCCCACCUGGCACAGUCUUCUCCCUCAGAACCUGGUCCUCGGGAUGCCGUCUUGUUGGGUCAGCUUCCCUGGUCCUUGCCAGAUGUAUUGAUGCCAUAGAAUUCUUCUCCCAGAAUUAAGCUGUGACCAAGAGGUCACUUUCAAAGGAGCCGACUCGAAAAUGGGAGACUUCAGCUUGAGAGGUUGGUUGGGAGCCCCUGCUCCAAAGGGCCCAGCAGAUUUGUGCUGGUGGCUGUGUCUGGGCCAGCGAGGACUCGCCUUCCCCCCAUCUUCAUUCAGAAGCCAGCUUCCCCAGUUCUUGGUCCGCUCUGCCCCGCCUGGGCGCCUGCCCUGGUCCUGCCCAGCCUUACCCAUUAGAUGCAUGUUCUCUGUUCACAAACUCUAUUGAUCACAGUUCUUUUCAUUCCAGAGCAUCAAAGAUGUAGCUCUUGACCUUUUUAGCACGAGGCUCCUUUGUCAUGCCUGGCGUCCUGGCAUCGUCACAUAUGCUCUCGACGCUUCUUCUGCAUCUGCAGCCACCCCUUGUGUUGAAUUGUCCAUUACUUGUGAAUCACGUCACUAAGGAAUAAAAGUGGGAUGCUGACACUUGGGCUCCAAGUAGAGACUUGGACUGUGAGUGGAGAAAUGCCGUGUGAUUUUGUGAUUUGAGUAGAGCGUCAUUUCCAACAUUAGAAUUUUAAAUAGAUCAUAGUUAGUUACGUCGUCAGGUGAUUUAAUGGCAAGUCAUAUCGUUUUAUGAAGAAAAACCAAGCCAGAGAAAAAUCUCGGUAAUCUAAUUUGUUAAGCUCUAUAAAUUAUCCAGUCUUGCUUAAUGAUGAGCAAUCACUGAUGUCUUUGAGAGUGUUAGAGACUUUUCAUUUUGUCAUUUUAAAACGAGAAUUUAAGUCCUCUUGCUUCCCUGUCAUAUAGCUAUGAUAAAAUGUAAACUUAAGUCCUAAAAGCACAUUUUUAUAUGCCUUUAGACUAGAAUUACUUCCUUAAAAAACCUAACAUGUUUCCAGUAAAACCAUCCAAUGUACCUUGAUUACAAAGUAAACUACUUACAGCUUUGAAGAAAAAGAAAGUAAUAAUUUACAUAAAUCAAUGCAAGGGCACAAAACCAGAGCUCUCAGUCAAUACAGUUUUAAAGUAGGCUCUGGUUCCCCUACCCCCAUCCCUGGGCCUUUUGUUUUGAGAUGAAUUGCUAAGUCGGAGUGUCCAAGAUGAGUAUCCUCGUGCUGGCCCUUGGUCCUCCUGGCUGGCUGGAGAAUCCCUUGGCACCCACCCCCACCCUUAGGCUCCUAAGCCUCUGCUGCUCUGCCCACCCGGUGCUAAGUAGCGUCCUCUGGUGCUAUGAGCCCCCCACACCUUCUGCUCCACUGCAGGCAGCUGCUCACCCUGGCCGCAUUAGCUUCACUUUGAGGCACUAACUACAACUGUUGCUUUCUCAAAUCUUCCAAGUUCAGUCUUUUCAUGGGGGACGUGGUUUUGGCCACCACAAUGACCCGUUUCUGCUGCUUGAUCUCUCCAAAGCAGCACUUUGUAGUCCCUGUAGGGUGAAUGGGCAGAAAUUAAUUCUGGAUUUGGCUUCUGGGCACACCUUGGCUCGAUUGCAUUUGAAAUGCAUUUGACCUGUGACUCCUUUCCAGCCAGUUCCCCGGUCAGUUUUGGUUUUGCUCUCAUGGCUUCUUAUCCUAUGUACUACACCUGAGGCUUUUGAAAUUGUAACAUUGACUCAGACACGGGGGGGUUGUUGUUUAAACGAUACAAGUUGAAUUGUUGGCUGGAUCUGAAGAGGUGCCUGCUGGGCCUUGGGGUCGAGAGACAUCAGGACCGUCCGGCUCUGUCACCUAUAAGAGAACAGCACUCGGUCCGAGAACAGAACACAGAAGAUGGAAUUGAUUUGGGAAGCUCUGGUUUUUCUUGGUAUAUUCUGGUUAAGUAGUUGUGAUGCCUCCAUUACAACAAAAGGUAGAUGCUAAUGAAUGCCACUUGUUUAUUACUGUCGGUACAGUGCUUAAAUGUUCAGGUAUCUCCAAGAGUCCAUGGCAUUACAGGGUUUGACUGAUGACAUUGGUCUUCCCUUCAGACUUAGUAUCUGCUGUGCUUUCUCAGAGCUGUACAUUUGUGUGGAAAUGUCUGCGCUCGUCUUCUCAUGGUGAAUUUGGAAACGUUCCUUUAUUUUAUGACCUCAACAAUUUAAUGAUCUCUAGUGUAUUACGCAGUAUUUUCAAAGGUAAUCUUACACAUGUAGCAACAUUUUUUACAUUUCUUUGUAAAAAGACAUGAUUAUAAUCAAUCAGAAAGACCACAACUAUUUGUUUUCAUUUGUAACAGAAUGGAACCCUGGCCUUGAACAGCAGCACUGUUCCCAGGUGGCUGCAAGGCCAGUGAUCUCUUUGAAAGUUCAUGACCAUUCCUCUUUUGAAUAGGGAUAUUGACCCGGGGCUCAGCCCACCUUUACUCUUAGAAAAUUGAGGUGAGCCCAGGCCCCUCUUUACCAACAGGAUCAAUCUUUCUCCAUGGCUGAUUUGAAAUGGUUUAGCCUCCCGGUGGUUGGUGGCUGAGCAACACCCUCUUGUUAAGCCUUUUGGCAGAUGCAGAGGGAAGGCCUUUGGGAGAUCCUGUGCUCCUUAGAACGUUUUCAGAACAUCCGAAUGAACCUGUUCAAGUAUUUUAAAUUGAAUUUCAAUGAGUCAGUUAUACAAUUGAUAUUAUUUUUUUAGACGUCUUUUCUGUUUACAUCAAUUUGCUCUUUUCAGGUGUAUAGUGAGUAGUGUUUUUUAAUUGCAGAAAAUGGUGAAUAUUCUUUGUUGCAUUUAUCCUUUUAGCAUCCUUUCGUAUUAUGUUCCAUCCAAUCCUCUUUUCCCCAAAGGAAAUAGAAGAACUUAGUAAAGCCAUGUUAUGAUUAUAAGCACGGCAGAUUGCCCGGUCAUGAGGAGCUGCCCGGUGCUCUGUGGUCAGAAUGGGAGGGUCAGCCAGCAGCAAACAGUGAACCCCUUCCUAGCCUUAUCCCAGAGCCUGCUCACUGGCAUUCCUUUGGGGCUUCCCAGCCCAUUCCUCACUCCAUUGACUCUCAUUAGCCUGUAGAUUGGUGUGUCAGACAUGGCAGUCGCUUGUUUUCAUUGUAAAUGCAAAAACACAUAUGCUCUUAUUACUCUAAAAUGUACAUUAUGUAAGAAUUGUAAAUAUUGUACUGGAAUAAAGACUUUGUAUGCUGAAAAGUUCAAGGAGUGCAUCAAUAAAACACUUCUUUCCA